CAGGCCCGCGGCGCGGCGGGCACUCACUCCUGCGAACAGUGCGCUGCGGACAGCACCCACCGGGGGUGCACCAGGACUCCCGAGCAGAAAAACCCGUCUUCCGCGAACAGCGCGGCCUGCCAGGGCUGGCCUCAUGCCAGGGAUUCUUCCAGACAGGAAGCGACACACAGCCAGCUGCUAAGGGAGCUGGCCACCUCGACACAGCCUGACCACAGUCACACCCAGCCACAAGCCAUUCACACCGACACCCCCCGAUAGGGGUUUCUGGGGCCCAAGGAUCAGAGCCAGCCAGCAGAUCUCAAGCAAGGGCACUACCUUCCACUGAGCCGCUUAGCUUCCCCGGUCCCCACAGCCUCCUCACAACUUUGGCCUUCAGCUGGCUACUCGGAAGGAAGCACACAGUGUUACCUGGUCACCAUUGCACGCUGCCUCGUAAGUGCCACCACGCAGGCUUCCACCACCACACACAAGUCCCAGUGGUUGGAGGCAUGACAUGAACAACCCUUAGGGGGCCAGUCACAUCAUACUGCCACACAAGCACUGGACAACCAUAAACAGGACACUGAGUCACAGCUGAACACUAGUAAACACUGUCCCCUCAAGCACAAACUCUCACACACAAGCAGGUACCUGUGACCCCAAGGAUGAAGUUCCCCAAGAACCAGCCCCAGGGAGUUCCUACAGUGACUGUCAUCUUGGCACCUAGAAAUGAAGACAGAAACAGAUGGAAAUAUAAGUGAUGUACUAUGGAAAUCCUGAACACCGUUGUAGAGCACACACCGACCGUACACUUAUGAGUGGUGUUCAUAUUCUCCCCUUUGAAGACAGAGAAGAAUACGACCAGAAUGGUCAGCAUGACCCGGCUACACCACUCCUGGGCAACACGCCUGCAGGAAUGUCAGCCAGUGUAUCACAGAGGUACUUGCACAUUGAUGCUUAGUGCUGUUCUGUCCACAAUCGUCAAGAUAUCAAACCAGGAGCUGACAUGGCGGCACAUGCCUUUAAUCCCAGAUAUGGAACCAGCUGAGAUGUCCACCAAUAAAUUGACGGAUAAAUAAAAUGUUUUAUGCAUGCGUGCGCGUGUGUGCACACACAAUGGAAUUUUACUGAGCCAUAGAAGGACAAAAUUAUGUCAUUUUUCAGGAAAAUGGAUAGCAUUGGAAAUAAGAUGAAACAAAACAAGCCACACUUAGGAACCCAUGUUUCCUAUCCUACAUUAAAUGCAUAUGACAUCAAAGUAGAUGAGAGACUAUUUGGGAAGAAGCAAACCAGUGUGAGAGGUUGACGGAAUGACUCCAUAGGCUUAUGUGCUUGAACGCCUGGUCCUCAGCAAAGUGGGAUGUGGUGCCUUGAAUGUAAAUAUGU